AGGGAAUUUUCGGCAAUGGGGGGAACCCUGACCGAGCAAUGCCGCGUGAAUGAAGACGAUCUUCGGAUUGUAAAGUUCUGUUAUUGGGAAAGAAAGAUAUGAUCAGGAAAUGGGUUAUAUUUGACGGUACCUGAUUAGAAAGCCCCGGCUAACUAUGUGCCAGCAGCCGCGGUAAUACAUAGGGGGCAAGCGUUAUCCGGAAUUAUUGGGCGUAAAGAGUGCGUAGGCGGUUGAUUAAGUCUGGUGUAAAAUCCCACAGCUUAACUGUGGAGGGUCAUUGGAAACUGGUCAACUUGAGUACGGUAGAGGUAAGCGGAAUUCCAAGUGGAGCGGUAAAAUGCGUAGAUAUUUGGAGGAACACCGGUGGCGAAGGCGACUUACUGGGCCGGAACUGACGCUGAUGCACGAAAGCGUGGGGAGCAAACA
rnacentral:rRNA from 1 species